rnacentral:lncRNA from 1 species
GGGCGAGUUCAUGACUUGCACAAGGUGUAAAAAGGAGCAACGAUUAUGCCUCCGCAUUACUAUGGAUUACGGGCUCUACCAUGAUAUUUUGGCUAAUAAAAGGUGGAGGUUCCUUGACUGCCAUUAUGAGAGGUAAAUCUUUAUCAUGAUUUUUGUUGUAUAUGUAUAUAUUUAUGUGCAAAUUCACUACAUGUUAUGUAGAGUAAUGUGUAUAUAUAUGUUUCUAAAAGAUAAACUGUGAUGCUAACUAAAAAAGGCAAGUCACAAAACUUGCAAAGGGUGUACAAGAGAUCCAAAAUGCAUAAUGAACCUCUUGUGCCUCCUUUGAUUUCUACAAGAGUCGCCUUAGGGACAGUUAGUGUCGCACCUGCAUUUAUUAUAUGCAGAAUGCACAUUCCUAAUCUCCCAUAGUCAUCACUCUAACUUAAAGAUUACGCAUAUUAGAAGUGUCAUCUUUUAAACUUUAUGUCGACUAUAUGUAUACUUCAGACUGCAUGAUCAUGUUUUUUAAUUAACGGCCCAAGCUCGACCAUCACUUUUAAUUGGAAUCUUGAUGCACGUGCCAUCUUCGACCGAACAGUACAUACAUCUACAAAGUCUCUGGGCAUGGAGGUGGUGGACAACAAGGCUCUCUAACUAGUCGUCGUUUGUUCAGGUUCUUCGGUGGCCAUACAUUUGAUGCUCUUAUCAAAAUUGCUUGCUGUUGUAUGAUGGGUGAUAAUUAGAGUUGAAAAUUUUUGUUUGGAAUUUGGGUUUUGGAGAAAUGAAAGAAAACUCUUUAGAAUUAAUGAGAGAAUAACUAAAGGGCAAUAGAGGACAUAUAUAAAUAUAUAUAUGUAUAUUUUUUCUAUCUCAAAAAUUCUCUAACAAUAAUGCUACAUCUUGUUUAAGUAUGCAUAUUUAUAUUUGUAAAAUCUUUACAUGUAAAGUAUAUUUAAAAGAACUAUGAGUAUCCUUGAAUUUAUUUUUUUAUUUAUCAUAAUCCUAUUAUUUAGAGAAUUUUACUAAAAUCCUUAAUUGAAAUAAAUAAUCUUAUUUAGUAGAAACUAGUGAUACACUAUUGGCUUUCUUUAAAUAUAUGCAGAUAUUAUUUCCUUAAAAAUAAUAGUUUGUCAAUUAAUAUUAUGUAAGUGGGAUUGGUGGCAUAGAGCUUGAAUUAUCAAUUCAAUGUGUACUAUUCCAAGACGUUAAGUCUUGUGAUAAAAUAAAUUACUAUUAAGAUACUGAUUAUUUUUAUAACAUUCUGGCUUACUUUACUUGUUUGAGUAUCUAUCAUUUAUCACACGACUUUGAUAGGUACAAUGAAUAUGUAUAAGAUUUCUUAUUUGUAUAGAAGUAAAAAACCAUUCAAUUUUUCAUUUGUCCCAUGAAUUUUAUGGGAAGAAAGAAUACCUACAAGAUCUCUUAUUUGUAUAGAAGUACAAAAUCAAAUACUAAAAGCUUGUUGUAAACCUAAACAACAGAUCAAGGCUCAUUGGUGGAAAACAACAAUUCAAUUAGGGCGAGUUCAUUACUUGCACAAGGUAUAAAAAGGACCAACGAUUCUGCCUCCACACUAGUAAGGAUUACAAGCUCUACCAUGAUACUUUGGCUAAUAAAUGGUGGAGGUGCCCCAACUGGCAUUACUAGAGGUAAACCUUUUAUCAUUAUUUUUAUUGUAUAUGUGUAUAUUAACGUGCAAAUCCACUACAUGUUAUGUAGAGUAAUUUGUAUAUAUGUAUUUUUAAGAUGAGCUAUGAUGCUAACUAAGAAAGCACAAGUCGCAAAACUUGCAGAGGGUGUACAAGAGAUCCAAAAUGCAGAAUACACCUCUUGUGUCACCUUUGAUUGCUAUAAGUGUCGCCUUAGGGACUGCAAGUGCCACACCUGCAUUUAUUAUAAGGAGAAUGCAAAGCCCUAAUCUCUCCUAAUCAUCACUCUGUAUAAAUGAUUAGUAGAUUAUAAGUUUCAUCUUUCAGACGUUAUGUACACUAUACGUAAACUCCAUACUGCAUGAUCAUGUUUUUUUAUUAAUGGCCAGAGCUUGAUCACCACUUUUAAUUGGAAUCUGGAUUCACGUGCCAUCUUCCACUGCGUAGUACACAGAUCCCUACAGUGCUGCCGGUAGCAUCUGCAUAGGCUCUAGGCAUAGAGGCGGUGGACGACAAGGCUCUCUAACUAGUCGUCGUUUGAUCAGGUUCUAUGAUGGCUGUGCUUUGGAUGCUCUUUUCAAAACUAUUUGCUACUGUAUGAUGGGUGAUGAUUAGACUUGAAAAUUUGUGUUUGGAAUUUAGUUUUUGAAGAAGAGAAAGAAAACUCAUUGGAGUUAAUAAGAGAAGAACAAAAGAAUA